rnacentral:tRNA from 1 species
GGUUCUAUCGUAUAAUGGUUAGUACACAAGAUUCUGAUUCCCAGUGAAUUUCGGAUUUCUUGUAAUCUGGGUUCGAUCCCCAGUAGGACCU